UACGGGGGGGGCAAGCGUUGUUCGGAAUUACUGGGCGUAAAGGGUGCGUAGGCGGUUCGCUAAGUUGGAUGUGAAAACUAUGGGCUCAACCCAUAGCCUGCAUCCAAUACUGACGAACUAGAGUUCUGGAGGGGGUAGCGGAAUUCCUGGUGUAGCGGUGAAAUGCGUAGAUAUCAGGAGGAACACCGGUGGCGAAGGCAGGUCUCUGGGCCACUACUGACGCUGAGAAGCGAAAGCAUGGGGAGCGAACAGG
rnacentral:rRNA from 1 species